rnacentral:rRNA from 1 species
CCUACGGGAGGCAGCAGUGGGGAAUAUUGGACAAUGGGGGGAACCCUGAUCCAGCGACGCCGCGUGAGUGAAGAAGUAUUUCGGUAUGUAAAGCUCUAUCAGCAGGGAAGAAAGAAAUGACGGUACCUGACUAAGAAGCCCCGGCUAACUACGUGCCAGCAGCCGCGGUAAUACGUAGGGGGCAAGCGUUAUCCGGAUUUACUGGGUGUAAAGGGAGCGUAGGCGGUUACGCAAGUCUGGAGUGAAAGGCGGGGGCCCAACCCCCGGACUGCUUUGGAAACUGUAUAACUGGAGUGCAGGAGAGGUAAGUGGAAUGCCUGGUGUAGCGGUGAAAUGCGUAGAUAUUAGGAAGAACACCAGUGGCGAAGGCAGCUUACUGGACUGUAACUGACGUUGAGGCUCGAAAGCGUGGGGAGCGAACAGGAUUAGAUACCCCAGUAGUC